UGAUGCAGAACAUAUAACAAUCACUGGGGGGCUGCUUCACGGCGGCCCUCUCUGAAGUGCCGUGCAAUGCGCGGCCAUUUGACUGAACUUCUGUUAAGCGUCAUCCGCUGA